UCCAGAUUUAGCGAUGAAGAUAUACCACGAUGGCAAUGUGUUUUCUGGAACGGUCCUUGAACGCGACGCGGGAGAAUCUCGCGAGGGAGAAUCUCAGAUGAAAACUUUCCGUAAAACGAACGCGAUCUUAUUUGGAUCUAAAUGCACCGCUAUAAAUAAUUAGACGGAGCUAUAGAAGGAGCUAUCUUAAUUUCUAAUGUGAUACCACAUUUAUGACGAUGAUACGUGUGUAUAAACGAGAUGAAUCUCCGUUCUUCCCCGGGAGGAAACCAUUACUCUUGGAAAUAGAUAAAAUGCGCGAUAGUAUUAAUCAUGCGAUGUAAAUGAAUCGCAAAGAAAAAAUUGAAUGCCUUUCUAAAUCGCUUAUUUGAUUAAAUUCGGUCAAGAAGCGGUCAAGGAGCUCCACUCCGAAACGGAUAUCCGUACACGAAAAGAAUAA